CUGUGACCACCCUUAUUUUGGUAAGAUUAUCCAUAGAAAGGUGUAUGAGAUCAAGAUCAUCCCUCCUAAAUUUCUAGAGUACUCAAUAUCACCAUCUGAAGCAUAGAAAAAUAGAAUGGUGCAUUACUUAAUGUUGUUGAGGUAUAUAGAUUACUUUGUUUAUUGCUUUUGCUGCUAUUCUUCUAUAAAAGUAUUAGUUAAAUUUUAUUGUAGUCUUCUAUAUGGAUAUUCAAUUAUAUCAAACCUCUAUCUGACAAACUCAUCUCUUUGGAUGUUUGUUAUAUAAGUCAUAUAUAUCUAGGUACCAAUGGUGUUUUUAGUUCUCAUAGGCUGAACUCAUGUAAGACUGCAGAGGUCCAAGAAAAGAGCAAAGCCCACUUCACAAUAUGAACUUUGCCGUAUGUUGUCAGAAAAGGCAAGUGCAAAUUUUUAUACUAUGAUUAGUAGAUUAUUUUUAGCGACACUUCUUUUAUUAUUAUUCCCUUCAUUACCAUACUACAGAGACACUGUUGUGAUUGCUCUAUGGGGUUAAAAAGCUCACUACUUCGCUACUAAAUACUACACAGACAUGACAGCUAACUAGUUGCUUUCUUUUAUCCUAGUCUUAUAUGUAGCAUGUUUGACAAUCUAAACUACAUCACUUCAGCCUAUAACCCUAACUACUAACAAGGUCCACUUGAUUUAUGCUUGCCUUACCUGUUUACUGCACAAAAUGUGAAGCCAGCUUCUUUGUUACUCAUGUUGUCAUUUUUGCAAAACACCUAACCAUUUACACCUGCCCUAUCGACAACUCCAACCCCACAAGAUGAUUAUGUUAAGCCUAUAAGAAGUAUAUUACAUCUAUUUGUCUAACACAUCGUAAUGGUUUUUGCUACAUAGUCAGCAAUUACAUAAUCUUUAAUGUGAUAUUCUCAUGCUAUAUAUAGCAAGACUAUACAGUCCAUUGUCAGUUCUAUAUUUUCUUUUCAUGCACUGCAUCAACACUAGUAAGAAUAGCGCCAUGGUUACCAAUCUACGUGUAUUUUGCAAGCUGUUGUACUACAAAUAGAUUAUCUAUGACCUUGGUAAUUUAAACAAUGAUAAAAUCUGGCUUGCAGUAGCUCUAGCCUUGGUAAUGGAUGCUAAGACCUGCAAAAUAUAUUCUAGCACACACAGACACGCCGGAUGUAUUUCCAUAUUCAAAUAAUGUAACAUAUCAUGUGUGUGCACUUUUUCAGUAUAAUGGUUGUUGAUGUUUCAGUCAAAGUGAAGUUAAUGCUUUAUACUAGCCUUACAUCAUUAUGAACAAAUUAGCGGUUCUUGUUUUGAGCAUAAAACAAGAAACACUUGGUUUUUGCGUAGUUAACUCAUUCUCUUAAUUGUCCUAGUAUAGAAUGGAAAAGCACAUGUCUAGAAUUUUUAGCAACCUAAUUAAUAAUAGUACCAUAACACAUGCUAUCAAGGUAUAUUAACGCUGUCAAAACUCUUAAUAAACUAGUAUACUAAUAUAGAAUUGUUGAAAUAAAAUUAAAGAUACUACUAUCAUCGAGAGAUGAAAACCAUGUUACUAUCGUUGUCCAUUUACUAUGCCA
rnacentral:lncRNA from 1 species